UUGGAGGGCAAGUCUGGUGCCAGCAGCCGCGGUAAUUCCAGCUCCAAUAGCGUAUAUUAAAGUUGUUGCAGUUAAAAAGCUCGUAGUUGAAUUUCGGGAUUAGUACGCUGGUCGUGCCUUCGGUACGUACUGGUGUUACUGAUUUCUACCUUCUGACGAACCAUCAUGUCAUUAAUUUGGUGUGGUGGGGAAUCAGGACUGCUACUUUGAAAAAAUUAGAGUGUUUAAAGCAGGCUCGCGCUUGAAUACAUUAGCAUGGAAUAAUGAAAUAGGACGUUUGAUCCUAUUUUGUUGGUUUCUAGGAUUGACGUAAUGAUUAAUAGGGAUAGUUGGGGGCAUUAGUAUUCAAUUGUCAGAGGUGAAAUUCUUGGAUUUAUUGAAGACUAACUACUGCGAAAGCAUUUGCCAAGGAUGUUUUCAUUAAUCAAGAACGAAAGUUAGGGGAUCGAAGACGAUCAGAUACCGUCGUAGUCUUAACCAUAAACUAUGCCGACUAGGGAUCGGAUGAUGUUAAUUUUUUAAUGACUCAUUCGGCGCCUUACGGGAAAC
rnacentral:rRNA from 1 species